AGAGUUUGAUCCUGGCUCAGGAUGAACGCUAGCUACAGGCUUAACACAUGCAAGUCGAGGGGCAGCAUGAACUUAGCUUGCUAAGUUUGAUGGCGACCGGCGCACGGGUGAGUAACGCGUAUCCAACCUGCCCUUUACUCGGGGAUAGCCUUCUGAAAGGAAGUUUAAUACCCGAUGAAUUCGUUUAGUCGCAUGGCUUGAUGAACAAAGAUUUAUCAGUAAAGGAUGGGGAUGCGUCCCAUUAGCUUGUUGGCGGGGUAACGGCCCACCAAGGCGACGAUGGGUAGGGGUUCUGAGAGGAAGGUCCCCCACAUUGGAACUGAGACACGGUCCAAACUCCUACGGGAGGCAGCAGUGAGGAAUAUUGGUCAAUGGGCGAGAGCCUGAACCAGCCAAGUAGCGUGAAGGAUGAAGGUCCUACGGAUUGUAAACUUCUUUUAUAAGGGAAUAAAACCUCCCACGUGUGGGAGCUUGUAUGUACCUUAUGAAUAAGCAUCGGCUAAUUCCGUGCCAGCAGCCGCGGUAAUACGGAAGAUGCGAGCGUUAUCCGGAUUUAUUGGGUUUAAAGGGAGCGUAGGCGGGCAGUCAAGUCAGCGGUCAAAUGGCGCGGCUCAACCGCGUUCCGCCGUUGAAACUGGCAGCCUUGAGUAUGCACAGGGUACAUGGAAUUCGUGGUGUAGCGGUGAAAUGCUUAGAUAUCACGAGGAACUCCGAUCGCGCAGGCAUUGUACCGGGGCAUUACUGACGCUGAGGCUCGAAGGUGCGGGUAUCAAACAGGAUUAGAUACCCUGGUAGUCCGCACAGUAAACGAUGAAUGCCCGCUGUCGGCGACAUAGUGUCGGCGGCCAAGCGAAAGCGUUAAGCAUUCCACCUGGGGAGUACGCCGGCAACGGUGAAACUCAAAGGAAUUGACGGGGGCCCG
rnacentral:rRNA from 1 species